AGGGGAGCAAUCCCUGAGUAAAGUGGCGACCGGGUGAGUAACACGUGACUAACCUACCCUCGAGUGUGGAAUAACAUCGGGAAACCGAUGCUAAUACCGCAUAACAUCGCAAGAUCAAAGGAGCAAUCCGCUUGAGGAGGGGGUCGCGGCUGAUUAGCUAGUUGGCGGGGUAACGGCCCACCAAGGCGAAGAUCGGUAGCCGGCCUGAGAGGGCGCACGGCCACACUGGAACUGAAACACGGUCCAGACUCCUACGGGAGGCAGCAGUGGGGAAUUUUGCGCAAUGGGGGAAACCCUGACGCAGCAACGCCGCGUGGAGGAUGAAGCCCCUUGGGGCGUAAACUCCUUUCGACCAAGACGAUAAUGACGGUACUGGUGGAAGAAGCACCGGCUAACUCUGUGCCAGCAGCCGCGGUAAUACAGAGGGUGCAAGCGUUGUUCGGAAUUAUUGGGCGUAAAGGGCGCGUAGGCGGCGCGGUAAGUCACCUGUGAAAUCUCCGGGCUUAACUCGGAGCCUGCAGGCGAAACUGCCGUGCUGGAGUAUGGGAGAGGUGCGUGGAAUUCCCGGUGUAGCGGUGAAAUGCGUAGAUAUCAGGAGGAACACCUGUGGUGUAGACAGCUUACUGGACCAUGACUGACGCUGAGACACGAAAGCGUGGGUAGCAAACAGGAUUAGAUACCCUGGUAGUCCACGCCCUAAACGAUGCAUACUUGGUGUGAGCCAUU
rnacentral:rRNA from 1 species